rnacentral:rRNA from 1 species
CGGACGGGUGAGUAAUGUCUGGGGAAACUGCCUGAUGGAGGGGGAUAACUACUGGAAACGGUAGCUAAUACCGCAUAACGUCGCAAGACCAAGAGGGGACCUUCGGGCCUCUUGCCAUCGGAUGUGCCCAGAUGGGAUUAGCUAGUAGGUGGGGUAACGGCUCACCUAGGCGACGAUCCCUAGCUGGUCUGAGAGGAUGACCAGCCACACUGGAACUGAGACACGGUCCAG